AACGAACGCUGGCGGCAUGCCUAACACAUGUAAGUCGAACGAGACCUUCGGGUCUAGUGGCGCACGGGUGCGUAACGCGUGGGAACCUGCCCUUAGGUUCGGAAUAACUCCCCGAAAGGGGUGCUAAUACCGGAUAAUGUCUUCGGACCAAAGAUUUAUCGCCUUUGGAUGGGCCCGCGUUGGAUUAGCUAGUUGGUAGGGUAAAAGCCUACCAAGGCGACGAUCCAUAGCUGGUCUGAGAGGAUGAUCAGCCACACUGGGACUGAGACACGGCCCAGACUCCUACGGGAGGCAGCAGUGGGGAAUAUUGGACAAUGGGCGAAAGCCUGAUCCAGCAAUGCCGCGUGAGUGAUGAAGGCCUUAGGGUUGUAAAGCUCUUUUACCCAGGAUGAUAAUGACAGUACCGGGAGAAUAAGCUCCGGCUAACUCCGUG
rnacentral:rRNA from 1 species